UACGUAGGGGCCGAGCGUUGUCCGGAGUUACUGGGCGUAAAGCGCGCGCAGGCGGCUCGUCAAGCCUGACGUGAAAGCCCCCGGCUCAACCGGGGAGGGUCGUCGGGGACUGGCGGGCUUGAGGUCGGCAGGGGUUGGUGGAAUUCCCGGUGUAGUGGUGAAAUGCGUAGAGAUGGGAGGAACACCCGUGGCGAAGGCGGCCAACUGGGCCGGACCUGACGCUGAGGCGCGAAGGCGUGGGGAGCGAACGGG
rnacentral:rRNA from 1 species